rnacentral:rRNA from 1 species
UACAGAGGUCCCAAGCGUUGUUCGGAUUCACUGGGCGUAAAGGGUGCGUAGGUGGCGGGGUAAGUUUGAUGUGAAAUCUCCGAGCUCAACUCGGGAACUGCAUUUGAUACUCUAGAGCUUGAGUACGGGAGAGGAGAGUGGAAUUCCCAGUGUAGAGGUGAAAUUCGUAGAUAUUGGGAAGAACACCGGUGGCGAAGGCGGCUCUCUGGACCGUAACUGACGCUGAGGCGCGAAAGCGUGGGGAGCAAACAGG